UUAUGUUCGGGUAAAGUGGUGGGGGCCUGAUAGGCGCAUGUUGGAUUGUUGCUGUUGAUGCUGUUUCUAUGUCAUUGAUGGUUGGUCGUGAAUUUGAUGCUGGUUGCAAGAGAGUAUGCUGGUUUUAGGAGUAUGAUUAUUUUACCGAUAUGCUGGUUUCACGAGCAAUUAGUUGACUUGAUUUAUACCCCAAAUGAUGACAUGAUUGGAUUCUUCUUGCUGUGAUGGACACGAGUUGAACCUGUAAUGAGAUGUAGCGGAUGCCUCAUAGGAGAUGGACCCAGUAUUCAUUAAUUCAGACGCAGAUACUAAACAAUAAGUUGUGGGUACUGAAUAGUAAACCUAAUAUGCUGUGGUGUGGUAUUUCCAAUGUGAGAUACGCUCGUUGUAGCAGAGAUGGUGGCUGAUGCAUCAUUUGUAUGAUAUGCAUGUGUUCGUGAGUAAUUUGAAGAAUUAACAAAUAACUGCAUGCAGCUGGCUGUUGCUGCCCUUUUGGCCGGGGUCGGGGUUGGCAAUGAUAUUAGCAGUUGGUUCUGAUGAUGGCUGUCCAGCUGGUUUCUGUUGAUUGCAGAGCCUCCUGAAAUAAAUCUUUUACGUUGAACUGGUGAUUGGUUUUGUAGGCUUUUCUCAAUCCUUUUUUCUUGGAUUAUGGCUCUGGCAUGUUUAUUUUCUCUGUGGUCCUCUUUUGCAUAGUCCUUGUUUCUGACCACGAUCAUUACGUUGUGGGAUGAUAAUGACCUGCAACUGGAGGCUACAAAUAAUGGUUUUCUUGGGUAUUUGAUCAUUCAUUUAUAAAUAUACCUGUAGAGGCAUAAGCAAAACGUCAGGUAGAAAUACAUUUUGACUUCUUGAUUGCGGAUUAGCUGGAUCUUUGUUUUAUUGGGAUAAAUGAGAAAGUAGAUGCAAAAUGAUUUUCAUAUCUGUUUUUUUCUCCAUCUGAAUUAGUUGAACCAUCAAAUUUUGUAUUGUAUAUGCCCAUCUAUGUUCAAUAUUUUUGAAUGAAUGCACGUGAUUCUCUAGACUUCUUUCCUACUUAUUUGUCGGAUUUUUGUUAUGUUUUUAGAAAAAGAAUUUAAUUGUUUGUAUUUUAUGCUGGAUAGGCUUGGUUGCAUGAAUUGAUUUUGUUGCAUUUUUAGCCUAGUUGCUUUCUUGUGAUUUGUUGAUAUUCUCAAGAUUUGGAUGAUAGAAGCUAUUAAUAAUCACUAAUUGCUUGUUAAUAGAAAUUUUCUAUUCCUUAAUUUGAGAAACGUGUGCCUUAUCUGGUAACUAGAACGUGUCCAUGCACCAGUUUUGUACCAGUCAUGGCCGGUGACUAAGUUUCCCUGCACAUACCCCUUAUUGAACCCAUUUUAAUAUUUCAGUCAUGGAUUUCAAGGUCCUUUUUCAAUAUCAUAUUCUCUGCACCCUUUUUAGCGCAUCAUGGUUUAAAUAAAUACAUAAGGGAGAUUAUCUGCAUUUGAGUGCAACAGAUUAGGGGCUUUGCAGGCUGUUAAGGAUGCUGCGAAAUCUGUAUUUUGUGUGCUAAAACUAUGAUCAUGAUUGUGAUUAUUUAUAUUACCAAGUAUUCUGGUGUUUUUCUCUUCAAGUAGUUGGGAGAGGAUUUGGACUAAGAUUUGAGGUGGAAAGGGUAUUGAUGUAGUCCAGUUCUGGGUAUGAUCUAUAUUUGGAUAACUCCUGCAUGAGGCUAAGCAAAGAAAACCGACAUGCCAAACAGAACAGAUCAAUGUUACUCGCAAACAUGAGUGAGUCCCAGCACACAAGACUAAAUUUGCUCCGUCCCGACAUCACAGCUUCAAGAACAUGCCCCUAUCCAACAUUUCUGCUAAACCCAAAUCCGGUGACCGCACUAUCUCCAGCCCUCCAGUACCUUCUGUGCACUGUUUUUCUUCUAAUUUGAAAAUUGUUGAGCAUAAUGUAUGUUUAUGUCAUCUUUUUAACUCUGUUGAUUUCUGCGAAGAAAACUGAUCCAUGAGAUGGGCAAAACGUUUCCUGGUUAA